UACGGGGGGAGCAAGCGUUGUUCGGAUUUACUGGGCGUAAAGGGCGCGUAGGCGGCCACCGCAAGUCGACUGUGAAAUCUCCGGGCUUAACCCGGAAAGGUCAGCCGAUACUGCGGGGCUAGAGUGCAGAAGGGGCAACUGGAAUUCUCGGUGUAGCGGUGAAAUGCGUAGAUAUUAGGAAGAACACCAGUGGCGAAGGCGGCUCACUGGUCCGGUACUGACGCUGAGGUACGAAAGCGUGGGGAGCAAACAGG
rnacentral:rRNA from 1 species